GAUGAACGCUGGCGGCGUGCCUAAUACAUGCAAGUCGAGCGAACAGACGAGGAGCUUGCUCCUCUGACGUUAGCGGCGGACGGGUGAGUAACACGUGGAUAACCUACCUAUAAGACUGGGAUAACUUCGGGAAACCGGAGCUAAUACCGGAUAAAAUAUUGAACCGCAUGGUCCAAUAGUGAAAGACGGUUUUGCUGUCACUUAUAGAUGGAUCCGCGCCGCAUUAGCUAGUUGGUAAGGUAACGGCUUACCAAGGCAACGAUGCGUAGCCGACCUGAGAGGGUGAUCGGCCACACUGGAACUGAGACACGGUCCAGACUCCUACGGGAGGCAGCAGUAGGGAAUCUUCCGCAAUGGGCGAAAGCUUGACGGAGCAACGCCGCGUGAGUGAUGAAGGUCUUCGGAUCGUAAAACUCUGUUAUUAGGGAAGAACAAAUGUGUAAGUAACUAUGCACGUCUUGACGGUACCUAAUCAGAAAGCCACGGCUAACUACGUG
rnacentral:rRNA from 1 species